rnacentral:piRNA from 1 species
CCUAUAGGUGAUUGUGCAUUUGGC